rnacentral:rRNA from 1 species
GACGAACGCUGGCGGCGUGCUUAACACAUGCCAGUCGAACGGUAAGGCUCCAGCUUGCUGGGGUACACGAGUGGCGAACGGGUGAGUAACACGUGGGUGACCUGCCCUGCACUUCGGGAUAAGCCUGGGAAACUGGGUCUAAUACCGGAUAGGAGCUCCUGCUGCAUGGUGGGGGUUGGAAAGUUUCGGCGGUUGGGGAUGGACUCGCGGCUUAUCAGCUUGUUGGUGGGGUAGUGGCUUACCAAGGCUUUGACGGGUAGCCGGCCUGAGAGGGUGACCGGCCACAUUGGGACUGAGAUACGGCCCAGACUCCUACGGGAGGCAGCAGUGGGGAAUAUUGCACAAUGGGCGGAAGCCUGAUGCAGCAACGCCGCGUGCGGGAUGACGGCCUUCGGGUUGUAAACCGCUUUCGCCUGUGACGAAGCGUGAGUGACGGUAAUGGGUAAAGAAGCACCGGCUAACUACGUG